UGGUGAGGAAACUCUUCCAUAGGUGGCCAAGAAUGAACCUGCUUGCCCUACACCUUUUGAGGGACGGCGUUCAUCAUGGUGGAAAAGCGUGGAGGCAGGAGCAGGAGCUGGCUGAUCAUGUCUCCAUCCACACAGAGGAAGCAGGAGGUGGAGUGUGGGCAGGUAGUGGGGUAAAGCUGCAAACUCUCAAAGCCCCCAUCCGUCCAGUAACAUGGUUUCUCCGGAAGGCUCCACUUCCUAGAGGUUCCAUUACCCCCACAAACGGCAUCACCAAUUGGGGACUGAUGCUCAACUAUGUUUGCCUUGGAGGAGCAUCAGACCAGCACAUGCAAACGAAUAGAAUGUGUGCUCAUCUCACUGAAUGGAAGGUAGCGCUCGUGUCUAAGGACCCCCCCACCCCCGAACUGUGCGUCGGUCCCUCCUGUAUCAUCCCCACUUGCCGUCCUCAGCAUCCUCCUGUUGAAUAAACUCUUCUCACUCAAGAUCUGAUCAGAAAACCGCAUUAGAUCAGACUGAACGAACUCGCCUAGCAAGAAGCCACCACAAAUCUAGCUGCCGGUUCCUGCCAUAUUUCUUCACACAAAGCACCCUUAACCCUUACCCAAGGAGAGGAGAGGUGAAAUGCGUAGCCUGGGGGUGGGAAUGUAAACCUGGAAUAAUGCCAUGUGCAUAUAUUAUGGGUAAUAGGUGUUCUAAAACAGAGUCUUAUUCACUCCGCUAUAAAACUGUUCCACAACAAUUUUAAUCAGUCAGUUCUUAAGAAACUAUUAAACAUUUUUGUGAGUUACUUCCACUGGCUGAAUUGUAGUGUGUAUUUCAAACAUUUUACUGUACUGUGAGGUCUGUGGCACUCAAAGGGAAAUUCUUUUUUAAAAAUCUCUAUGUCAUUAAAUUGUUCUAAUAAUAAGAGACCUAAAUUUGAAGCACUUGGGGACAUCAAGGUACCGUAUCCAAGCUCUGGCAGGACGCUAUAGAACAGAUGUGUUACAGGCAACAGAACCUAAUGUAACCUCAGUGCUGAUAACUCCCAAGACGUAUCGUAAAAUUAUCAAGAUGUUUAAGACCAGGAGACUAUUUUAAUAAGUGAACAAAACCAGGAGGACAAUUUCUAGAUGUUUCUAUUCCGGGAUAUGUCUUGUAAUUGCCCAUUUCUCCUCCCCGAGUGACUGUCUCCCUUCCCGCGCAGGGCUCCCUGAGUUGCUGCAGAGCUCUUGAGGGAGCAGUCACUUAAAAUAGAGCUAUGAAAGCCCACAUUCCAGCCUUGUGAGGUGACUUCCUUAUGUGAUGACCUUGGAGAUUCAGCUUCAAGCACACAGUCUGCUCAAGGGGGCUCGCUCAGCCUAGAUGUGAAGAUUUACUCUUGGUCUUUCUGGUCUCCUUGAGGAAGGACAGUGGGCAUUGGUGCAAUGUUCUUAAG